UGGUGAAAUAAUGUGCCCAUGGGAGCUUACUAGCAUCUGGUGAGGCAGGCUACCUAGGGGAGUGGGUUCUUUAUGGGAUGUGUUGUUCUCAUGGUGGUAGGACAGGCUACUCAUAGGAAUAAUUUACCUAUGAGAGUUUGUUGUCUUGAUAGUAGUGAGACAGACUGCUCAUAGGAAUGGUUUACUUAUGAGAGUGUGUUGUCUUAUGGAUGAUAAGGUAGGCUGCUAAUAAGGAAUCCUAUGAGAGUGUGUUGUCUGAAUGAUGAUAUGGCAGACUGCCCAUAGGAAUGGCC
rnacentral:lncRNA from 1 species